AUGUGUCGAUAUGACGUCGCUGUUGUCUCGUCUUCAGGCGGGAUGAAAACAGUCAGCUUGUACUCCAAACAGCUGCCCGUGCAACAACCGACGGUGGGCCAGCUGAGGAAGGAAGCGCUCAAAGCGUUUUCCACAGAGAAAUAUUUGGGUGAAAUCCGUCUGGUCGUUGAAGGAAAGCCACUGGACGACGACUCUGCGUCGCUGUCCGACUGCAAAAUCAAGCCCAACUCUGUUGUGCAGAUGGUGACCAAGGUUCACGGAGGCUGACUGAGCUCCAUCGUCGAGCUCCAACCGUUUAAUACAGACCAAGGACAAAAAUGCUUUUGUACUGUUAAACCUGUGCAGUUAUUUCGAGCUGCAGUUUCUCAGGGUGUAAACAAUUCUUUAGCUCCUUUUUUCUUUUUUCUCUUUUUUUGUUGUUGAUAAAUUAUGUGGGACACCAAUAACAAAUCGAAGGGUACAAACACCGCUGAAAUUAAAUGCUCCAUCUCAUCGGCUUCUGUGCUCGGAGCCAAUGAUUAUAAAUAAUAAAUCAGUCAUGUUAGCUAUAUCAUUAGCAUUACAGGACACCAAGAAAUGAGAAAAUGUAAAGGCACACAGAACAACCUCAAGAAAGUAAAUAAUGUACUGAUUUUUAUUAUUUGUGCUUUGAUGAUGUAAAAAAAAAAAAAAAAACAUAUACCAUUGUACUUGUCAUGGACUGGAUUGCACUUUUAGAUUACUUACUUGCAAAAAGUUACGCAAGAAGUAAAAUUCCAAUUUGCUUUGUUUUAACUUGAAUAAACUUUCUCGGAGGAGUCAGACUGUCGUGUAUAUCAUGUAAAAUCAUACAUAAAAGCCUGAUACUCAUGAUAAAGGCCCGUCAUGUACAGUGAUUUGCAUUUGAGACAUUUAAGGACUUUUCGCCCAAUUUUCACCAACUACACAGCAAAAUCUCCAGUGUUAAUUCAACUCCUAUAGUGUUAAAGUUAACACUUUUCCAGUGUUUAUAUAAUUCUCACUGGUUUAGAGUUAAAGUAACACUUUGCAAAGUGUUAUUAUUUUAACUCCAUUGUAGUGUUAAAAAUAUAACACCCAUAGUGUUAAAAUUUCACUCUGUAUGGUGUGAAGUGUCUUCACUCAGAGUGUAACUACCUAACAUUUAUAGUGUUGUUUUAGGACACUGAUAAGUGUUCACUUUUACACUGGCUUGGGUUAACUCUUUUCACUGAGGGUGUUACUACACAACAACUAUGGUGUUAUUCAUGACACUUUUAAGUGUUUAUUUUCACACUGGAUUGUGUUGACUGUUUUCACUUAGAGUGUUAUUCUGUAACUUUUACAGUGUUAUUUUGGCACUUUAAAGUGACAUAUAUGAGCUUUUAAAUACUAGUCUGUAUUAAUUGUCUGAAUACAAAAAUGCAUUAAAGUGCAAUUACUGUAUGACUACUGUGUUACAUUCAGUGAAAAUCCUUGUUAAGUCCCUUUACAGGAUAAAAGGAGAAAACAUAAAAUUGGUCACAUAAGCAUUUUAAUAAAUAUUAAAUUCCAAGCACCAUACAGCAUACGUUCACAACAAAAAUAAUGGCACAAUGUACAGACCAUCAUCAUCACCAUAAGCACUUUGCAAAUCAAAGGGCUUGUAUAUUUCAAUACAGUCUGCUUUAACAACAUCUUGUAAUCUGUCAAAAUCAGCUUGAAAUGACUCUGAGGGUUCUGCAUCACCACUUUGACAACAAUCUUCAUCAUGAACACUAUUUAAAUGUUUUUUUAAACCAGAAUAUGUAGUGAACUGACGGCUGCAACCAUCUUGUGAACAAGCCAACUUAAAUUUGGUGCUUGGAUAAAAACUGUGACCUAGUCGCAAAUGACUUAUCAAAGCCUGACUGGUGCUAUGCAGAGUUUGACAGAUAAAACAUUUAAACAUGGUUCUCAUUCAAUAUUUUGGCACGCAACUCACGAACACGUGGUGACUCAUCUGUUGAGGUGGCAUCAAUGUUGAAUAUGGUGGUCUGCACAAAACUGUAGAGAUGAACCAGUGACUCGUCGUAAGAUAAGUUGAACACGUAGUGGGAUUUGAAAAGUUCAUCAAAAGCACUGAGUGAGCUGGUGGCUUGGCAGGGGAUGAGCUGUUUGUCCACUGCGAUGUAGAAGGUGUCAAUGCUGUUCUGGGUUCGACCAACAGCGAGGAUGUAUGGUUGUUUACCAUCUCUUGCUUGCAAGUGUUCAUCAAUGCUGCAGCAUGACUAAAAACAAAUGAGAUAUUGACAUAUAGGCCUAGCUUAUACUUGCUGAGUAUGAAC
rnacentral:lncRNA from 1 species